rnacentral:rRNA from 1 species
CUACGGGGGGCUGCAGUGGGGAAUAUUGCACAAUGGGCGCAAGCCUGAUGCAGCCAUGCCGCGUGUAUGAAGGAGGCCUUCGGGUUGUAAAGUACUUUCAGCGGGGAGGAAGGGAGUAAAGUUAAUACCUUUGCUCAUUGACGUUACCCGCAGAAGAAGCACCGGCUAACUCCGUGCCAGCAGCCGCGGUAAUACGGAGGGUGCAAGCGUUAAUCGGAAUUACUGGGCGUAAAGCGCACGCAGGCGGUUUGUUAAGUCAGAUGUGAAAUCCCCGGGCUCAACCUGGGAACUGCAUCUGAUACUGGCAAGCUUGAGUCUCGUAGAGGGGGGUAGAAUUCCAGGUGUAGCGGUGACAUGCGUAGAGAUCUGGAGGAAUACCGGUGGCGAAGGCGGCCCCCUGGACGAAGACUGACGCUCAGGUGCGAAAGCGUGGGGAGCAAACAGGAUUAGAUACCCCGGUAGUC